rnacentral:lncRNA from 1 species
UAUGGAAAAUUACCGCACACAUUAAUUCUCUUUGUAAACCCGACGUGUGGGCCUUUCCUUCGUAUUUCCUGAUACCCCUCUGCAGAAAUAGACAAACACCAAAACUCGUGGAAUUCUAUCAGAUAAAACCCUAAGUCUGGGUGUUGGUUGCAUUUGGAUCCUUUUCUUUAUUCAUUUGAUGAUUAUAUUUGGUACUUAAGGACCAUCAACAAACUCCCCCAAGCUUACCUCUUGCUCGUCCCUAAGCAAGGAUAGACUCAAAAGUUUCUGCAGUGGUUUCAUGCCUGAAAAGUGCACAUGCGUUCAAGCAAGAUCUCAUCUCUGAGUUAGAGUAAACUGUUAAUACUUAAAAUUUACUCAUUUUACCUUUCACCAUGGGGCUUGCAACCAUCACUUAUGUCUUGAGCAGUUAAAAGAUAGAACAGUCUAGUCAAGCGCCAUGUCUCUUGUUCUUCGAUUAACUAUAGUUCUGGAGUUUUUGCAGAUUUUUAAAUAAAACUCAGAGAUUCCUUGCAUGACUCUCUCUAGUCUCUCUUUUGUGGUAUUUUUGGAUCCUUACCAAGGCAGUAAUGGUGUAUGCCUUCUCUCAAAGUAUGUGGUAUUUUUGAUAUGAGGCAUAGUGGUAUUGUCUUCUCUCUCACCCUACUCUAUUAAGGUUUGAUAUCUAGAGCUCAUAGGUGGGAGACAGCUAAUACAUACUUACAAGACACUUAUUGCAUAGUCAAACCAUGGAUCCAGAAGAACAAGUCAAUAAGUCAAAUUAAGAUGUGCAUGUGUGGCGAAUGAAUGGUGAUAAUGAUGAAAAUAAUGAUGAAAGUCUAAUUCUACUUUUGCCCUUUUGAGUGGUACAUACCUUUCUUGCACUUGAGGCUUUUGAGGGGAAUGAGACGCUCUAUUUUUUUUCUUUUCUCUCAGGUGGGUAUCUUGUACCCCUAAUUCUAUUGUCGGACACUUGUCCAUUUUUACCUCUUGUCUCACUUUUUCUCUUUUUUUUCGAGGUUUCAGGCACUUGCCCCUUUUUAUUUCCUCGUAUUCACUUUUUUUUCAGAGCACUCACCCUCCUGGAAUAAUGUAGCAAGUGGUAGUAACCAAAAUAUCUCGAGCAUUUAUUUCACGGGGAAUAACAGAGAUAGGAUAAUAUUUUUGGCUAUUCUCUCCUAGAUAGGAGUAGAAUAAUUUUGGGUGAAUCUAGAUAUGGAAAUGAGUGGAUGUAUGUGGAUGCGUACUUCUGGAGUAGAAGCAGCAUGUAUGAGUGAACGUGCACGUGAAUCUUGAUUUUAACUGCAUGACAAGCUCCUAAGGGUCUACACAGCUUGACCACACUCAAUGCUCAUAAGCAGUAAAAAGUAAAUGUAUGGUUCAUAGUCUACUAAGCUUGUAUAUAUGGCUGUGGUAGGAUUUUAAACUCUCAUCAUACAGGAACUCAUCAUGCAACAUUUUAAAGAUUUUCAAAGAUAAAAUUCUCCAGAAUUCUAGCAUCUCUAGGAACAGAUAAAUAGCAGCUCAACCUUCUCAUAUCAUAUCUGUUAACGACUUAGACUUUUGAUCAGGUACUCUUCCCUCAAAUUCAGGUUUAGAGCAAACAUUAAAUUAUAACAGUUAUGCCUAAACUUGAGAGAGAGCUCAAAUUUGAAAACUAGGUACUUGGCAGAGCAACUAUUCAUCAUAUCCAUGUAAGAGUUUAUCAUUGAAGUUCAGUUUGGCAUAGACACUUUAUUUCUUUAUUUAUUUAUUUAGCAAACUAAGCAAAGAUAUAUAUAAGCACAAAAUGUUUAAUUGGGAUUUUAUGAUUAUGCAUUUUUUUAUUAUUUGAGUAAAGUAUAAAUGUGAGUAGAAACACUUAGCUGGAUAAAUGGGGGUGCUCUCCCCCAAGCAGGAUUUUAACGUAAUUUCUUCUGAUGUAGCUAGCAGGUGGCGUAGGUGUAUUUGAAUGUUGGCAGCACCUUGAUAGCGAUUAGGAUAUCCUCUGUCUGCUAGUCUUCGUUGAUCCUUAAAUUCUGUGGAGCUCAAAUAGACAACAAAACUUUGUGGAACUGGUUAAGUGUUAGCAUAGAAUCUCUUAGCCUUUACCAUGUUGAGCUUCCUCUAAUAAAUAUUACUCUCUUUAGUAGGAUCAUAAAUUUAUUUUUAUAUUUUCAUUUUUACAGGACAAGAAUAUAUUUAUUUUAUUUUACGCCACCACAGUGAAUGGGUUUUAUGCCACGAGCAUACUCACAUGGGGCUUAUUGUUUUUAACAUUUUUAUUUUCUUUUCAAGAUAGCAUGAUUAACUAACAAGCUAUUUAAGGAAAGUAAAUAAUUUAAGAAAAAAGGGAAUGCAGAAAGGAUAAAUAUGGAUAAUUACCGAUUUUACCUUUCGGCGAGAGUUCAAUGUUUUAAGUCUUCUCAACAAGACUUCUCACCGUGUUCAUUCUUUAGGUGCGUCAUUUGAGUUAGGUGUGGACCUUGACAUCUGCACCUCUUGAUACGGUGUCACCCAUGUUUUUCGUUUGCCUAGCAGUUCGAAGUGCGGCGUUGGCAGCAUCCUCCUCAGUGUGUUUGUGCUCGUGGAUCCAGGUCCUUCACUUGGUAGAGUCUGGGAGUUGGAAAACUCCUCCAUGUUUUGCUCGAAGUGUAUCCUGCUCAUAGAGACAAGGCAGAGAUCAAGUGCAUGGGCCCUAUUGGUGGAAAACACCAACAGAACCAAAAGUGUAUUUGUUCCUCUCUAACCUUAAGCAUAGUGAGCAAGACAAAGUUGAUGGAUGAUAAGAUCAUAAGUGUAGCAUUUAAAACAUUUGUCAUAUCAGAUCACUCAACCUUAUGGAAAGAUAAUCUAUCUAAGUAAAUGUUUUUUCUUUACAUGACUAUCAUUUUCCAAAGAUCGGAUGUGCAACAUUUUAGCUCAUAUGGUUAAGAGUGUGGGAUCAAGAAGGUAGUACCGGAAACAAAGAUUAAAGGACUAAACAUGUUGAAUCAAUUGGG